rnacentral:rRNA from 1 species
CCUACGGGUGGCAGCAGUAGGGAAUCUUCCACAAUGGGCGAAAGCCUGAACCAGCCAAGUAGCGUGAAGGCUGACUGCCCUCUGGGUUGUAAACUUCUUUUAUCACGGACUAAAACGAGGCACGUGUGCCUUUUUGCAUGUACUUUAUGAAUAAGGAUCGGCUAACUCCGUGCCCGCAGCCGCGGUAAUACGGAGGAUCCGAGCGUUAUCCGGAUUUAUUGGGUUUAAAGGGAGCGUAGAUGGGUUGUUAAGUCAGUUGUGAAAGUUUGCGGCUCAACCGUAAAAUGGCAAUUGAUACUGGCAGUCUUGAGUACAGUUGAGGUAGGCGGAAUUCGUGGUGUAGCGGUGAAAUGCUUAGAUAUCACGAAGAACCCCGAUUGCGAAGGCAGCUUACUAAACUGUGACUGACAUUGAUGCUCGAAAGUGUGGGUAUCAAACAGGAUUAGAUACCCGGGUAGUC